AGUGAACGCUGGCGGUAUGCCUAACACAUGCAAGUCGAACGGCAGCACAGUAAGAGCUUGCUCUUACGGGUGGCGAGUGGCGGACGGGUGAGGAAUACAUCGGAAUCUACUUUUUCGUGGGGGAUAACGUAGGGAAACUUACGCUAAUACCGCAUACGACCUACGGGUGAAAGCAGGGGAUCUUCGGACCUUGCGCGAUUGAAUUAGCCGAUGUCGGAUUAGCUAGUUGGCGGGGUAAAGGCCCACCAAGGCGACGAUCCGUAGCUGGUCUGAGAGGAUGAUCGGCCACACUGGAACUGAGACACGGUCCAGACUCCUACGGGAGGCAGCAGUGGGGAAUAUUGGACAAUGGGCGCAAGCCUGAUCCAGCCAUACCGCGUGGGUGAAGAAGGCCUUCGGGUUGUAAAGCCCUUUUGUUGGGAAAGAAAAGCAGCAGGUUAAUACCCCGCUGUUCUGACGGUACCCAAAGAAUAAGCACCGGCUAACUUCGUG
rnacentral:rRNA from 1 species